AUACAGAGGGUGCGAGCGUUAAUCGGAAUUACUGGGCGUAAAGCGCGCGUAGGCGGCUUAUUAAGUCAGAUGUGAAAUCCCCGGGCUCAACCUGGGAACUGCAUCUGAUACUGGUAAGCUAGAGUUUUGGAGAGGGAAGUAGAAUUUCAGGUGUAGCGGUGAAAUGCAUAGAGAUCUGAAGGAAUACCAGUGGCGAAGGCGACUUCCUGGCCAAAAACUGACGCUGAGGUGCGAAAGCGUGGGUAGCAAACGGGAUUAGAUACCCUUGUAGUCC
rnacentral:rRNA from 1 species